UUUUUUCCCAAAUCUGAGCUCUCUCCCUCUCCCUCUCCCUCUCAAAAUCUGCCUCUCUCGCUCGAAUCUGUCGAUCGAUUCAACUUUCUCAAGUCUACAACUGUUGAAGAUUUCAUAAUCGGUUGUGUGUACAGAAAGUGAAGCAAUCGGAGAUAACCGAGCACGACUCGUUUCUACUGGUACAGUUCAGCUUUUGAUUUUCAUUUACAGAGGGUAUAAGAAAUUCUUUAAUUCGACAAUGGAAGAUCA